rnacentral:rRNA from 1 species
CGGCCGGACAAGUCCGUCGGGAAAUCCACGUGCUCAACGCGUGGGCGUCCGGCGGAAACUGUUCGGCUUGGGGCCGGAAGACCCGAGGGGUACGUCUGGGGUAGGAGUGAAAUCCUGUAAUCCUGGACGGACCGCCGGUGGCGAAAGCGCCUCGGGAAGACGGACCCGACGGUGAGGGACGAAAGCUAGGGUCUCGAACCGGAUUAGAUACCCGGGUAGUCCUAGCCGUAAACAAUGCCCGCUAGGUGUGGCACUGGCUACGAGCCGGUGCUGUGCCGUAGUGAAGACGUGAAGCGGGCCGCCUGGGAA